CCUACGGGAGGCAGCAGUGAGGAAUAUUGGUCAAUGGACGAGAGUCUGAACCAGCCAAGUAGCGUGAAGGAUGACUGCCCUAUGGGUUGUAAACUUCUUUUAUAUGGGAAUAAAAUGUUCCACGUGUGGGAUUUUGUAUGUACCAUAUGAAUAAGGAUCGGCUAACUCCGUGCCAGCAGCCGCGGUAAUACGGAGGAUCCGAGCGUUAUCCGGAUUUAUUGGGUUUAAAGGGAGCGAAGGUGGAUUGUUAAGUCAGUGGGGAAAGUUUGCGGCUCAACCGUAAAAUUGCAGUUGAAACUGGCAGUCUUGAGUACAGUAGAGGUAGGCGGAAUUCGUGGUGUAGCGGUGAAAUGCUUAGAUAUCACGAAGAACUCCGAUUGCGAAGGCAGCUCACUGGACUGCAACUGACACUGAGGCUCGAAAGUGUGGGUAUCAAACAGGAUUAGAUACCCUUGUAGUC
rnacentral:rRNA from 1 species